UGCGGAAUUUUGGAUAAUGGAGGGAACUCUGAUCUAGCGACGCCGCGUGCAGGAAGAAGGUCUUCGGAUUGUAAACUGCUGUGGUAAGGGAAAAAUGCUAUGUAGAGUGGAAAGCUACAUAGAGGGAUGGUACCUUACUAGAAAGCCCCGGCUAACUAUGUGCCAGCAGCCGCGGUAAUACGUAGGGGGCGAGCGUUACCCGGAAUCACUGGGCGUAAAGGGAGCGUAGGUGGCCUAACAUGUCAACUGUGAAAACCCGGAGCUCAACUCCGGACUUGCAGUUGAAACUGGUAGGCUUGAGGACGGUAGAGGAAGACGGAACUGCCAGUGUAGGGGUAAAAUCCUUAGAUAUUGGCAGGAACGCCGGUGACGAAGGUGGUUUUCUGGGCCGGUUCUGACACUGAGGCUCGAAAGCCAGGGGAGCGAACGG
rnacentral:rRNA from 1 species